CUUGAAGGGAAUAUUCCACCUUGAGCAGAUUGAUGUGCCUGUUAGAGAGAUGGGAAGUGAAAGGGCAGUCUCACGAGCUCUUUAACUUUUACUGGCUUUCCUCUUCCAAUCUCUUAGCUAUUUUAAUUCCCCUUUGAAGCACAACAGACUGACAGAUGGCUGUGAUGAUUUUGCUAGGCCAGAGCCCUCUUGGCUGGAUUCCCCAAGGAGAGAGGGAGAGACCACAUGUGCUUCUGAGGCAUCUCUGUCUGCUUUGAACCUUAUCAACAGGGACUGUGCAAUGCAGUUUCUCUUUCUCCCUCUCCUCUAACUUUUGAAGCAAAACACUUACGUGCAAGGAAUAUCAGAGCAUCUGACAGCCAGGAAG